UACGGAAGGCAGCAGUGGGGAAUAUUGCACAAUGGGCGAAAGCCUGAUGCAGCUAUGCCGCGUGUAUGAAGAAGGCCUUAGGGUUGUAAAGUACUUUCAUCGGGGAGGAAAAACAAAACUAAUAAUUUUAUUUCUUGACGUUACCCGAAAAAGAAGCACCGGCUAACUCCGUGCCAGCAGCCGCGGUAAUACGGAGGGUGCUAGCGUUAAUCAGAAUUACUGGGCGUAAAGAGCACGUAGGUGGUUUUUUUAAGUCAGAUGUGAAAUCCCUGGGCUUAACCUGGAACUGCAUUUUGAAACUGAAAUACUAGAGUAUCGUAGAGGGAGGUAGAAUUCUAGGUGUAGCGGUGAAAUGCGUAGAUAUUUUGGAGGAAUACCUGUGGCGAAAGCGGCCUCCUAAACGAAUACUGACACUGAGGGUGCGAAAGCGUGGGGAGCAAACAGGGAUUAGAUACC
rnacentral:rRNA from 1 species